AAUGUGAUGCUCUGGUAUCUGUCACCCUUAACCGCAUCUGCUGAAGCAAUGGAUUCUAGUUCAGCCAUUUCUUCUGGAGUUGGUUUCUCCAACAAAGCCCCAAUGUUUUGGUUGAGGUUUUCAAUCUUGGUAGUUCCCGGAGAGGGACACACAUCAUCCCCCUGGUGAUGGACCCAGGCCAGUGCUAGUUGUGAUGGAGUGCACCCCUUCCUUGUCGCAAUUUCACUAACCCGCUCAUAAAGGAUUUUAUUAUGCUCAAGAUUCUCCGGCUGGAACCUUGGUAGGUUCUGCAAUAUGAAACACGCAUCUCAGUAACAAAAUUGAAAACCCGACAUAAUUGCAUAACAUCAUUAUUCAGUGAUAAUGAAUCAUACGUGCGCUUCUAACAUUAGUUGAUAACACAAUAAGGCAGGUUCUCAGUCAUAAUAUAGAGUCAAGCCCUCUUGUUUAAACAGAUUAUAAGAUCUUGGACAACGUCGACGUCAACUGAAUCAAGUGCCAUUGUGAACAACAUGGCACUAGGUUAUGGCAUUGAGGCAUUUUCAUUACAUGAAUCAUCCAAAUGAACCGCCCUCUUUCUCAAGAAACAGCCUCCCAAAAAUUUAAAAUACAUAAACAAAUGUGCUAGUGUUGUGAGUAAGUUGCAGUAUCAGAGGUCAAAAACCAUUUCCUCAAUUGAGCUUUCCGGCCCUAAUACAAAGAGCCUCAGAGGACAGAUUAUAUAGUGAUUUGAAAGAAAAUAUUGAAUUAAAAUAAGGAGAAAAAUAGAGCAGAAAAAUAAGGGCUAGAUGAGAAAUAAGGACAUGGUAUUCUGGUAGAUGUAAAUGUUCGUCGAUAUUCUAUCUUUUAUAAUCUUUCUGCACAGUUUAGGUGAACUAAAAACUAUACCACCUCUGGGUCACAAAGUUUAUAAAGAAAACAAUUUGUUCUGUGAAUUGUUUCUCCCCAAAACUUAGGUCCUGUCGGUUUGGGUUUGGGCAUGGUUAAUUUGCCGGCAGUGUGUUCAUCACAGCUCUAACAACAAUUAAAACAAACAAGAAUUGUAGCUGUUGGCUGAAGGUGUUUUGUCGUGAUGAACUUCAACCAUCAAAUCAGCACAAAUAAGAUAUAAAAGGGCUUUUUCAACCAACUGAUUAGAUUUUUCUGGUCAGGAAAGCACACUGUCAAAGAGAUAGACUAGAUACGCAUUUACAGAUAAACUUCAUUUCCUUUCUCUUCUUGGCUCUACAAAUUAAAGGAAGUUGCUCCUUUUUUAGUUUUUGCCAAUAUUACUCCAUUUAAACUUCCUAUUGAAACAAUAUUACCUUGUUCAACAUUCCUCUGUAACACCACAAAUAAAAGAAGCAGGAAUAAGAAAUAGCAGUUCAUGUUUGAAUUAAAGAAGGUUUGGGACCCAACACAAUGUAAUCUAUAUUAUGAGAAUUAGAAGGCAUAUGGUAUGUAUACAAACCUUUCUCAAGUCAUUGUCUGAUAAGUUCUCGACCAUCUUGGCCCCUGAAGAAAGGAAUCCACGUCCUAGAGAGCUAUAUGCAACGAUCCCAAUGCCAAGUUCUCUGAGAAAAUAAGAAGGAUGAGUUAGAAAUUAAACUUUUAAAUGCUCUUCAAACAGCUUUUUCGGUCUACCGCCUUACCUGCAAGUUGGAACUAUGUCUUCUUCUACAUCUCUUGACCACAAGGACCACUCCAACUGCACAGAUGUUAUGGGAUGAACUGCAUGUGCUCUUCUGAUUGUUGAAGCAGAGGCCGCAGACAGACCUAUGUACUUUAUCUUACCCUCUUCAACUAGCUUCUUCAGUUCUCCCAUCUUACCGACGAGCAUAUAAAAAAAAGAAAGAUUAAUUACAAAAAAUAAAAUAAAAUAAAAAAUAAAGUUUGAAUUGAUAGGAAUAAAUCAUUUAUAUUAUAAGUUUACCCUAGAUAAGGUAAAGAGGAUUCUUACUACGAUACCAGUGAUUUUUAGAAAGGCCUCAAUUUAGUUACUAUAAUUUAAUCUUACUAUUAAUGAAUCUAAGGGUCAAAUCUAUAAGAUGUAUAUAGGCUUUUAAUGGAAUAAAAUUGGAAAUCAAAAGCAUAUUUAAUUGAUUUAAGAAACUAUGCUUAAAAAAAAACAUCUAAGUUUUGCAUGCAAUAUUAGGUGUAGGAUUCAAUUUGAUCGUGAUUGAUUUUGAUCUUAAACCCUAGAUUUUAUUUGCUCUCUCUCUAAGGAUUUGACACUGCAUCAAGAAACUCUUCAUAACAUUUUUCUUUGUUAGAUUUAUUUCAUUAAAUAUGUUAAGAAAAUUUUGUUCAUAUUUUAUCCUUAUUUAUUUAAAUUAAGGUAUCAUUAAUAUUAGAAAAUAAUUAAUCUUUCUACACAUUAAGUUGAUCCUAAAGGACAAUGAUCCAAAAUACUAUAAACUCAUGGUAAAUCCAUCUUUUGUUUUUCUUGGCCAAAGUUAUCAAAUAUUUAGGGUUUAGUAUUUUAAUUACAACAAAGGUUUAUGAUCGUAAAUCUCACAAACCCAAAAUUCUUCCACCCAAUGGCUCUCUUUCUUCUUGAAUUUAAGCAUUGGAGAUGGUGAAAGUCUCACGGAGAGGUGGUGGUUAGGACUUUCCUCUCUCUAGAGUGCAUAGGAAGACAAAAUUGAAUCCCCAACCCCUAAGGGGAAUUUAUAUAGACUUCUAGUGGAUUUAAGUAACUUGAGCAUGUAUUGAGUUUAGGUCAUUUAAUACAGUCCAAGUGACUUGUCCCGUGGAUCAAACCAUAACAAUACUAGGGUAUACACUUGGAAUAAUGCCUUAUUGAUGGUAUCUAUGAUGGCAUGCUAGAUACAAUAACAAUAGCCUUUAUUGUUAGUCUCCUAAUUAGUAUAAUACUAAAACAAAACUAUCAGCUCCAUUGGCCUGAUAGUGAUGAUGAAAUAAUUCUUUAUUGAUAACACACUAUUUGAUAGUGAAAUAUUAGAGCAAACCUUACUAGCUCCAUUAAUUAGGCCUUGAUGGCACUAAGAGGUUGACAUAAUAUCUCAUUGAUAACACCUUGUAUGUUAGAACAAUGGUUUCAAAUACCACUCUUCCAUUUGUUUUUAGUGAAAUGUAAACAUAAAAAUCACUAGCUUCAUUGUCAAAUCAUGACAAUAAAAAGACAUUGGAAUAAUGCCUCAUUGAUGACAUACUAAAUGUUGGAGUAGUAAGUAACCCAUUCUGUCAGUUCUUCAAUUAGAGACUCAUACAAUUGGCCUCCAUUAUUAAUUGCAAUGAUGUUAAAGGUUCUAUACUAGUUAGUAUAACACAUCUGCCUCUCCAUUAAUACUACAAUAUACUAAAGGUCAAGUAGAACAAAGAACUAGUGUACAACUAGCGAUACUAAAAGAAUAACUCCUUAUGAUCUAUUUUUCAAUGAAAAUAAGCUAACCUUAUUACAUUGGUUAAACUUCUCAUACUAAUCUUAAGUAGACAAAAAAAAUUAGAUGAUAUAAUUUACCCUAGAGUUUAUUAAGAAUGGAUGAUUUUUCCAUUUAAUAAGGUCAAUCUAAAGUAGACAAGAUAAAUGAAGUUCUUGAUGGGAGCCAUUUGCAAAGAUCGAAUUGAAUUAGGUCCAGGAUCCGAGGCCAAAAUUCAAUUUGUAAAGAUAGUUAUUGUUGUGGGACAUGUCUCUCAAUAAAAAAUUAAUAUCUCUUCAUGUUAGUCACCUGGAUUAUAGAGAAAAAAUAAAGUUAUAAGGGAAAAACGUAUUUCCAUACACUCAUAUGAAAAAAUACCGGUUGUAUACUAGUUAGGAUAACACAUUUGCCUCUCCAUUAAUACUACAGUAAACUAAAGGUCAAGUAGAAUAAGGAACUAGUGUGCAACUAGCAAUACUAAAAGAAUAACUCCUUGUGAUCUAUUUUUCAAUGAAAAUAAGCUAACCUUACUACAUUAAUCAAACUUCUCAUACUAAUUUGAAGUAGACAAAAAAAAUUAGGUGAUAAAUUACCCUAGAGUUUAUUAAGAAGUAGAUACUCUAGGGAGGACAACCCACUUAUUUGAAGGAAAUAGAUGGGAGGACCACUCAUUUAUUUGAAGAAAAUAGAUGAGAACAAUUUCACUGAUGACCCAUGACUAACCCACACUAGUCUUCCUCUUAAAAAUGAAUGAAGAAGGUUGUCUUGACCGGCAAUGAAAAAAAUUAAAAAUAUAGUGUGGAGCACGUGAGGUUCAUGUAUUGUGCAUGCUUUUCUUGGAUUUCCUCUUUAUCCAUUUAUAGCAGUGAAUUCGUUCCAAAAAUCCAGAUUUUUCAAUGGCAAAAUCCUCCUUUGCAUCAACAGCCAAUGUGCUGCCUUUUCUUUGUGUUGCCACAUGUCCUUUUUCCUUUUCAGUUUUCAAUAAUAUAACCACAUCCCUAAUUUUCCUAACUUCCCUUAAUUUCAAACAUAUUUCUCAUAUAUUUUUCUUUUAUAUUAUUUUAUAGUGAAGUUAAAUAUAAGAAAAUAAUUUUAUUCAACACUUUGUACUAAGAAAGGGAUAUGAAGUUCUUGAUGGGAGCCAUUUGCAAAGACCGAAUUGGAUUAGGUCCAAGAUUCGAGGCCAAAAUUCAAUUUGUAAAGACAGUUAUUAUUGUGGGACAUGUCUCUCAAUAAAAAAAAUUAAUCUCUCUUCAUCUUAGGCACUUGGAUUGUAGAGAAAAAAAUACUAAAAAAAAAUUAUUAAAGUUACAUUAGCAAUUAGGGAAAACAUGUUUUCAUACACUCAUAUAAAAAUAAAACCGUAAAAUAGAACUCAAGUUUAUAAAAUACAAAUUUUAAGUAACUAUCUAAAAAUAAUUAGUAUUUCAUACACUUUUUUAUCAAAUGUAGUACAUUUGACCAACUUAAGUACUACUUUCAUCAAUAAAAAAAUGAAACUUGAAUUAUUUUUAGAAGGUUCUUAUUUUAUAAUUAUUUUCACGUGAGUGUGUAAAAACUCACUUUUCCUAACAAUUAUGAUGGAUUGGCUAAUUGGUAACUUAGCACUCCAAUGGACAGACUUUCUAUUUUGAUUUUUAAAAAGAGUAAGUUGAAGUAAUUUAUUUAUAAAUAUAGUAACUAUGAUGUAAAUAAGUAUGUAUAUAUGAUGACACAUGGUAGCAUUUACAAGUCAAUGAUCCGCCUAAAAAUAAGAUUUAGAGUCCAUUUGCUAAUAAUUUUAAGAUUUAGAGUCCUUUUGGUAAUAAUUUUAAAAAAAAUCUAUUAUGUAAAUGUUAAAAAAUCUAGAAACGUUUUCUGAAAUCAAUGUCAAAUGCACUUUUCAUGUUGUUUUGUGUUCUUGUAUUUUAGGACUGAUAAUGUAAUUUUAAACUCCUGCAAUGCCCAAGCUCCUAAUUUAUUCAACUCCUUUUUAUUAAAACUUUAGUAUUAUGAUCCUCAGAAAAUCAUAAAAACACACUGCCUCACACAAAACACUCUCUAUGAUGCAGUAACCUCUAGGAACUCCAUAGUUUCUCAACACUCCAAAAACACAUAAAAUGCAAAUACAUACGAGUUUCCGAGGCAAUAAGGAGUUACUUUAAUUGUACUGCAAGUCUGCAAGGAUCAUGCCUCUUUCAAGCUUUCCAGGAAUCAAGGGGUGGAGUGUCUGCUGUCUUCCAUGUAAAUGCAGUGCUCUCAUAUCUAUCACCCUUAACACCAUCUGCUGAAGCAAUGGAUUCUAGUUCAGCCAUUUCUUCUGGAGUUAGUUUCACUGACAAAGCCCCAAUGUUUUGUUUGAGGUUUUCAAUCUUGGUAGUUCCCGGUAUGGGACACACAUCAUCGCCCUGGUGAUGGACCCAGGCCAGUGCUAGCUGUGAUGGAGUGCAUCCCUUCCUUGUCGCAAUUUCACUAACCCUCUCAUAAAGGAUUUUAUUAUGCCCAAGAUUCUCUGGCUGGAACCUUGGUAG
rnacentral:lncRNA from 1 species